rnacentral:miRNA from 1 species
CGUAUGACAGGAGGGGCCCGCCGGAUCCGGCGGGCCCCUCCUGUCAUACG